rfam:Felis catus isolate Cinnamon breed Abyssinian chromosome D1, whole genome shotgun sequence.
GCCUGGGUGGCUCAGUCGGUUGAGCGUCCGACUUCGGCUCAGGUCAUGAUCUCACAGCUCGUGAGUUCGAGCCCCGCAUCAGGCU